rnacentral:rRNA from 1 species
GCAUAUCAAUAAGCGGAGGAAAAGAAACUAACAAGGAUUCCCUUAGUAGCGGCGAGCGAAGCGGGAAGAGCUCAAAUUUGUAAUCUGGCGUCUUUCAGGCGCCCGAGUUGUAAUCUAUAGAAAUGUUUUCUGUGCCGGACCGUGUCUAAGUCCCUUGGAAUAGGGUAUCAAAGAGGGUGACAAUCCCGUGCUUGACAUGACUACCGGUGCUCUGUGAUACAUUUUCUACGAGUCGAGUUGUUUGGGAAU